rnacentral:rRNA from 1 species
GGACGGACGAACCUCUGGUGUGCCAGUUGUUCUGCCAAGGGCAUGGCUGGUUGGCUACGUUCGGGAGGGAUAACCGCUGAAAGCAUCUAAGCGGGAAGCCUGCUUCGAGAUGAGGACUCCCACCCACUUGAUGGGGUAAGGCUCCCAGUAGACGACUGGGUUGAUAGGCCGGAUCUGGAAGCCAGGUAACUGGUGGAGGUGACCGGUACUAAUAGGCCGAGGGCUUGUCCUC